AGAACGAACGCUGGCGGCAGGCUUAACACAUGCAAGUCGAACGCACCGCAAGGUGAGUGGCAGACGGGUGAGUAACACGUGGGAACAUACCCUUCGGUACGGAACAACUUGGGGAAACUCGAGCUAAUACCGCAUACGUCCUGGCGGAGAAAGAUUGAUCGCCGAAGGAUUGGCCCGCGUUCGAUUAGCUAGUUGGUGAGGUAACGGCUCACCAAGGCGACGAUCGAUAGCUGGUCUGAGAGGAUGGCCAGCCACAUUGGGACUGAGACACGGCCCAAACUCCUACGGGAGGCAGCAGUGGGGAAUAUGGACAAUGGGCGCAAGCCUGAUCCAGCCAUGCCGCGUGAGUGAUGAAGGCCUUAGGGUUGUAAAGCUCUUUCGCACGCGACGAUAAUGACGGUAGCGUGAGAAGAAGCCCCGGCUAACUUCGUGCCAGCAGCCGC
rnacentral:rRNA from 1 species